UUUCAACUUGAGAGUUUGAUCCUGGCUCAGAACGAACGCUGGCGGCAGGCCUAACACAUGCAAGUCGAGCGCUUCCCUUCGGGGAGGAGCGGCGGAC
rnacentral:rRNA from 1 species